rnacentral:rRNA from 1 species
GGGAUUGCCUCAGUAACGGCGAGUGAAGCGGCAACAGCUCAAAUUUGAAAUCUGGCGUCUUCGGCGCCCGAGUUGUAAUUUGCAGAGGAUGCUUCGGCGUAGGCGCCGCCCAAAGUUCCUUGGAACGGGACGUCGCAGAGGGUGAGAGCCCCGUGUUCGGGCGGAUGCCGUCGCCAUGUGAAGCUCCUUCGACGAGUCGAGUUGUUUGGGAAUGCAGCUCAAAACGGGAGGUAAAUUUCUUCCAAAGCUAAAUACCGGCCGGAGACCGAUAGUGCACAAGUAGAGUGAUCGAAAGAUGAAAAGCACUUUGGAAAGAGAGUCAAACAGCGCGUGAAAUUGUUAAAAGGGAAGCGCUUGCGGUCAGAACUUGGCCGCCGUUGCUCGGGGAGGUCUCGCGCCUCCCUCGCUCUUCGGCGGCUGGGCCAGCAUCGGUUCGGGCGGCUCGAGAAAGGUCGUGGGAACGUAGCUCCCUCCGGGGAGUGUUAUAGCCCGCGGCGCAAUAGGGCCCGCCUGGACCGAGGUCUGCGCAUCUGCUCGGAUGCUGGCGUAAUGGCCCCAAGCGGCCCGUCUUGAAACACGGACCAAGGAGUCUAACAUUCGUGCGAGUGUUCGGGCGUUAAACCCGUGCGCGCAAUGAAAGUGAACGUAGGUGGGAGCCCCUUGUGGGUGCACCAUCGACCGAUCCAAAUGUUUUCGGAUGGAUUUGAGUAUGAGCACGUAUGUUGGGACCCGAAAGAUGGUGAACUAUGCCUAAACAGGGCGAAGCCAGAGGAAACUCUGGUGGAGGCUCGCAGCGGUUCUGACGUGCAAAUCGAUCGUCAAAUUCGGGCAUAGGGGCGAAAGACUAAUCGAACCAUCUAGUAG